AACGAACGCUGGCGGCAUGCCUAACACAUGCAAGUCGAACGAGACCUUCGGGUCUAGUGGCGCACGGGUGCGUAACGCGUGGGAACCUGCCCUUAGGUUCGGAAUAACUCCCCGAAAGGGGUGCUAAUACCGGUUAAUGUCUUCGGACCAAAGAUUUAUCGCCUUUGGAUGGGCCCGCGUUGGAUUAGCUAGUUGGUAGGGUAAAAGCCUACCAAGGCGACGAUCCAUAGCUGGUCUGAGAGGAUGAUCAGCCACACUGGGACUGAGACACGGCCCAGACUCCUACGGGAGGCAGCAGUGGGGAAUAUUAGACAAUGGGCGAAAGCCUGAUCCAGCAAUGCCGCGUGAGUGAUGAAGGCCUUAGGGUUGUAAAGCUCUUUUACCCGGGAUGAUAAUGACAGUACCGGGAGAAUAAGCUCCGGCUAACUCCGUG
rnacentral:rRNA from 1 species